rnacentral:rRNA from 1 species
AAAGCCCCAGCUCAGCCGSGAGGGUCAUUGGAAAYUGGGARRACUUGAGUGCAGAARAGGAGRAGUSGAAUUUCCAUGUGUAGCGGUGAAAUGCGUAGAWAUAUGGAGGAACACCAGUGGCGAAGGCGGCUCUCUGGUCUGUAACUGACGCUGAGGCUCGAAAGCGUGGGGAGCAAACAGGAUUAGAUACCYUGGUAGUCCACGCCGUAAACGAUGAGUGCUAAGUGUUGGAGGGUUUCCGCCCUUCAGUGCKGCAGCUAACGCAUUAAGCACUCCGCCUGGGGAGUACGACCGCAAGGUUGAAACUCAAAGGAAUUGACGGGGGCCCGCACAAGCGGUGGAGCAUGUGGUUUAAUUSGAAGCAACGSGAAGAACCUUACCAGGUCUUGACAUCCUUUGACCACUCUAGAGAUAGAGCUUCCCCUUCGGGGSCAAAGUGMCAGGUGGUGCAUGGUKGUSGUCAGCUCGUGUCGUGAGAUGUUGGGUUAAGUCCCGCAACGAGCGCAACCCUUAUUKUUAGUUGCCWUCAUUCAGUUGGGCAYUCUAGCAAGACUGCCGGUGACAAACCGGAGGAAGGKGGGGAKGACGUCAAAUCAUCAUGCCCCUUAUGMCCUGGGCUACMCACGUGYUMCAAUGGGAAGUACAACGAGUUGSGAAGUCGSGAGGYUAAGCUAAUYUCUUAAAGCUUCUCUCAGUUCGGAUUSCAGGCUGCAACUCSCCUSCAUGAASCCGGAAUCGCURGUAAUCGSGGAUCASCACGCCGCGGUGAAUACGUUCCCGGSCCUUGUACACMCCSCCCGUCACMCCACGAGAGUUUGUAMCMCCCGAAGUSGGUGAGGUAMCCUUUUGGAGCCAGCCGCCUAAGGUGGGAUAGAUGAUUGGGGUGAAGUCG